CAGCCGCCGCGGUAAUACGUAGGGUGCGAGCGUUGUCCGGAAUUAUUGGGCGUAAAGAGCUUGUAGGCGGUCUGUCGCGUCUGCUGUGAAAACCCGAGGCUCAACCUCGGGCCUGCAGUGGGUACGGGCAGACUAGAGUGCGGUAGGGGAGAACGGAACUCCUGGUGUAGCGGUGGAAUGCGCAGAUAUCAGGAAGAACACCGAUGGCGAAGGCAGUUCUCUGGGCCGUAACUGACGCUGAGAAGCGAAAGCGUGGGGAGCGAACAGGAUUAGAUACCCGCGUAGUCCCUGUCUCUUAUAC
rnacentral:rRNA from 1 species